UGGGGAAUUUUGCACAAUGGGGGAAACCCUGAUGCAGCGACGCCGCGUGAUUUAGAAGGCCUUCGGGUUGUAAAAAUCUUUUCUAUGGGAAGAAAAUGACAGUACCAUAGGAAUAAGGACCGGCUAAUUACGUGCCAGCAGCCGCGGUAAUACGUAAGGUCCGAGCGUUGUCCGGAAUCAUUGGGCGUAAAGGGUACGUAGGCGGGUAAGCAAGUUAGAAGUGAUAUCCUAUAGCUCAACUAUAGUAAGCUUUUAAAACUGCUCAUCUUGAGGUAUGGAAGGGAAAGUGGAAUUCCUAGUGUAGCGGUGAAAUGCGCAGAUAUUAGGAGGAAUACCGGUGGCGAAGGCGACUUUCUGGCCAUAACCUGACGCUGAGGUACGAAAGCGUGGGUAGCAAACAGG
rnacentral:rRNA from 1 species